rnacentral:rRNA from 1 species
AUUGAACGCUGGCGGCAGGCCUAACACAUGCAAGUCGAGCGGAUGAAGGGAGCUUGCUCCUGGAUUCAGCGGCGGACGGGUGAGUAAUGCCUAGGAAUCUGCCUGGUAGUGGGGGAUAACGUCCGGAAACGGGCGCUAAUACCGCAUACGUCCUGAGGGAGAAAGUGGGGGAUCUUCGGACCUCACGCUAUCAGAUGAGCCUAGGUCGGAUUAGCUAGUUGGUGGGGUAAGGGCCUACCAAGGCGACGAUCCGUAACUGGUCUGAGAGGAUGAUCAGUCACACUGGAACUGAGACACAGUCCAGACUCCUACGGGAGGCAGCAGUGGGGAAUAUUGGACAAUGGGCGAAAGCCUGAUCCAGCCAUGCCGCGUGUGUGAAGAAGGUCUUCGGAUUGUAAAGCACUUUAAGUUGGGAGGAAGGGCAGUAAGUUAAUACCUUGCUGUUUUGACGUUACCAACAGAAUAAGCACCGGCUAACUUCGUG